rnacentral:rRNA from 1 species
AAUCUAAUUAUAAAUUUUAUAACGAUAAACUAAAAUUGAUUAAGGGUAAAAUUUAAUAGUAGAGGUUUGAAUUUAUCAUAAUAAAGAUAUUAAUUAAAACAAGGAUUAGAUACCCUUUUAUUUUUAUUCAAUAUAUAAAUUGGAGAGUACGAGCAAUAGCUUAAAAACUAAAGAAUAUGGCGGUGUUUUAUUCGAUCAGGGUGACAUGUAUCUUAAUUUGAUAGUCCACGGUUUUUAAGCCUGACUUUGAAAUUCAGCAUGUGUACUGCCGUUUUAUAUAGUUUUAAAAAAUUGUGUAUAAUAUAUGAAUCUUUCAUAUAGUUAGUCAGGUCAAAGCGCAGUCUAUAGUCAGGUGAGAUUGUGUUACAUUUAUUUAAACAUUCAAUUUAUUGAUUUAAAUUUUAAUAAAAAGAAGAACUUGAUAGUAAUUAAAUUGAUUAAAUUUAAUGAAAAGGAUUUUAACGCGUACAAAUCGCCCGUCACUCCUUUAUAAAGG